UAUUAAGUUGGUGCAAAAGUAAUUGCAGUUUUUGCCAUUGAAAGUAAUGGCAAAAACUGCAAUUACUUUUGCACCAACCUAAUA
rfam:Pan troglodytes isolate Yerkes chimp pedigree #C0471 (Clint) chromosome 21, whole genome shotgun sequence.